AUUGAACGCUGGCGGCAGGCCUAACACAUGCAAGUCGAACGAGUGGCGGACGGGUGAGUAAAGUCUGGGAAACUGCCCGAUGGAGGGGGAUAACUACUGGAAACGGUAGCUAAUACCGCAUACCAUCGGAUGUGCCCAGAUGGGGUUAGCUUGUAGGUGAGGUAACGGACCACCUAGGAGACGAUCCCUAGCGGGUCUGAGAGGAUGACCAGCCAAUCUGGAACUGAGACACGGUCCAGACUCCUACGGGAGGCAGCAGGGGGGAAUAUUGCACAAUGGGCGCAAUCCGGAUGCAGCCAUGCCGCGUGGAUGAAGAAGGCCUUCGGGUUGUAAAGUACUUUCAGCGGGGAGGCGUUACCCGCAGAAGAAGCCCCGGCUAAAUCCGUGCCAGCAGCCGCGGUAAUAC
rnacentral:rRNA from 1 species